rnacentral:rRNA from 1 species
UAAUACGGAGGGUGCAAGCGUUGUCCGGAUUUAUUGGGUUUAAAGGGUGCGUAGGUGGCCUGUUAAGUCCGGGGUGAAAGCCCACAGCUCAACUGUGGAACUGCCCUGGAUACUGGCGGGCUUGAGUCCAGACGAGGUUGGCGGAAUGGAUGCUGUAGCGGUGAAAUGCAUAGAUAGCAUCCAGAACCCCGAUUGCGUAGGCAGCUGACUAGGCUGGUACUGACACUGAGGCACGAAAGCGUGGGGAGCGAACAGGAUUAGAUACCCUGGUAGUCCACGCCGUAAACGAUGGAUACUCGCUGGCAGCGAUACACUGUUGCUGGCUUAGCGAAAGCGGUAAGUAUCCCACCUGGGGAGUACGCUCGCAAGAGUG